CUCCAUAUCAAAUAAACCACAGAAAUACGCGAAAAUGGCAGCCAAAUAUAUAUUAUAAUGGUUGUUCUCUUAGUGGUGUGCAAAUUCAAUAUAAGAAUACAGAAAAACUUUGGAAGUUAAGAAUAAAACACAACAACAACAACAACAUACCCACUGAAAUCCCACAAGUUGGGUCUGGGAAGAAGUUUGGAUUAAACCACAAACAUUAAUAUGUAGAUAAUCAUUCAAAACAUAAUAUAAGCAAGCAGCUUCAUUCAAAAGGAAAUGCAACCUAUUCAACUUUUGAAUACUAGUACUACUUAAAAUAGAAGAAUUCUGGUGAUAAAAAAAAACUAAAAGUCAUGACAAUCAUAUUAUGAACUUUAUUUAUGAACUUAAUUAGAAGUUAAAAAGUCAUUAAUAUGUGAGUUAAAAUUUAAGUCCUUAAGAGAUAUAAAAGUUAGACCUUUAAAAGGAAAAGGCACAAUACAUAAACAUAUCCUUUAACUUGGCUUCAGAUCACAUCUAUGACCUCCA
rnacentral:lncRNA from 1 species